CGCUUGAAUAUCUGUAAAUUGAAUCGAUCAAAGUUGACCCUGUAUUGUCUCGCCUAAAUCGAAUUGAAUCAGUCAACAAGAGAUAUACAACCUCUCAUCAGUCAUCUCUCAAAGAACCAUCCCUAUAUGUGAUGCCAUUUCUUCUCUCGAAGGCAACAAUAUACAAGAAUCUACUUUGUUCAUCGCCUCUCACUACCAAGAAAAAACUGAUUGAAUGAUGGUGAUUGUGGCUAAAAAUAGUUAAAUCGGCUUCAAAACCAUCUACAGCCACUCGCUGCUAUAUUCACCACCAUCUACAGCCACUCGCCACCAACCAACCUCGGUCACCACUAUACGAGAUUAAGAUCUCUCUCUCUCUCUCUCUCUCUCUCUCUCUCUCUCUCUCUCUCUCUCAAGCCAUACGGAUCUCAGGCCGUCAUCUUCCCUGCUUCAUCACCACUAUCACCUUAUUCCUCUCUUAGAAAACCUAAGGAUCUAUGCACCACCGCCACCUUAUCCUUAAAACCGGUGUUGAUUCCUCGAAGAUUUGAAGGCAGAUUAGUCAGGUGGGUUGAUCUGAAUCUACGUUUGAAGAUCAUGAAAAGUUGGUUUCAAGUUCAAUGCAAGUGUAAUUUGCCUUUCGUCAACCAACCUCACGCAAAACGAUCCCACCUGUAUGAGUACGCUCAUGAAGAAAUCUAGCAAGUUUUGGGGCUGAUGUAUGAUAUAUCCUAUAUUCAAUUUGGUUCUCAGGUUAUGUUUUUUCUCAUUAUCGAUGGGAAAAUUAAAGAAGAUUUGUCUUUAUCUGUUGUAACUUGUAAGUUUGAUGUGCCUCUGAUUCAUUUAUUUUAGCCUUUGCCACAUGUUUUAUUUUAGUUUUUUUCCAGGUUUUGAAGGUACACAAAUGAAGUUUUGUAUCAGUUAGAUUGGCCUUCUAAUUUCUUCUAUGGCGAGAGUAUUGUUGAUUUCUUACCAAAACUAUGACAUAUAUGCUAUUUCAAAAAUAUAUGUUGUAUUGAUUUUUGGGUUGGAUGGUCAGAUCUACCUAGAUCUAUACAUAGCAUAUGAUACCAAUAACUUUUGAUUAAAUCUUGUGUUUUUUAUCCGAUAAUCAUAUUUUUGAUUUUGUGCAGGUUGUUUGGUUAUGGGUUUGAAUUUAUGGAUUUGGGUAUAAGAACAUGUUAAUGUUUCAGUAUUAUUUGGUUAUUGACUGUCUGAUAGAGUAAAAGUUGAACUCUUUUGUUGUAUUAUUAUAAAUUUACUUUUAAAUUUUCAGGUGAGGUGUUUGUAUAAAUCUGAAUCAAUUAAAAGCUCUUUGAAUCUUCAAGUUUCAGAAGGCUAAAAUGGUACCCAUCAAAAAGUUUUGGCAGAAAUGAGUUUCUUACUACUUGGAAGAAAAAGGGAAAUGGAGAUAGAUGGUCGUUACCAUUGAUGCUUUUCUAACAGAUGUACAAAGAAAAUGCAUGAAUCUGAUUUUCAAAUCUGAAUUGAAUCUGAUUUUUUUUUUUAAAUUUGAAUACAUGUAUGUGUGCGUGUGAUUUUAAGAAAAAAGUUAUCAACUAUUUCCAUAUAA